GACUGUAGCCUAUACUAUAGCCUAGGUCACAGCCUGUACUGUAGCCUAGGGCACAGCCUAUACUAUAGCCUGGACUCUAGCCUAGGUCAUAGCCUAGACUGUAGCCUAGGUCAUAGCCUGGACUGCAGCCUAUACACUAUAGCCUGGAUUAUAGCCUAGGUCAUAGUCUAGGCCGUAGCCUAGGUUGCAGC